AUUGAACGCUGGCGGCAGGCCUAACACAUGCAAGUCGAACGAGGGGCGGACGGGUGAGUAAUGUCUGGGAAACUGCCCGAUAGAGGGGGAUAACUACUGGAAACGGUGGCUACUACCGCAUACUAUCGGAGGAACCCAGAUGGGAUUAGCUUGUAGGUGGGGUAACGGCUCACCUAGGCGACGAUCCCUAGCUGGUCUGAGAGGCUGAUCAGCCACACUGGACCUGAGACACGGUCCAGACUCCUACGGGAGGCAGCAGUGGGGAAUAUUGCACAAUGGGCGCAAGCCUGAUGCAGCCAUGCCGCGUGUAUGAAGAAGGCCGUAGGGUUGUAAAGUACUUUCAGCGGGGAGGCGUUACCCGCAGAAGAAGCACCGGCUAACUCCGUGCCAGCAGCCGCGGUAAUUC
rnacentral:rRNA from 1 species